UUUACCAAUUACAUUAGGAACUGUGAAUUUUUUUUUUUACUACACAUUCAUGCAUUUACAACUCGCGUGACGCAUUGACAUUCAUGAGAAAGCCCUGCUUGCCGCCGCCUUGGCUUGAAAAGUCCCCACAUCUUGCAUUGGGGUUCUGCAUUUGUCAACACGCCAAUUCCAAAUCUAAGAAUAAUUGACAUUUCAAAAAAUUCCCAUGUACCAAUGAACACUUUCUAUCAAGAAUUAUUUUCUAAUUACGCACUCAACACAGUAAGACUUUCUAGAUAAUCAAGUCCAUCCUAUACUAUCCCUGCACUAAACCAGAAAUCCUGCUCUUGCGGCUGAACUACAACCUGAAAUAAGACGAAAAACCCACCUGACCCCAGAGACUAACAAAAGAAGUAAACAGAUAACUGAAUUGGAGUCCCCAAAAGAACAUUUCCUUAACUGAAACCCCAAAAAUACAGAUAAUUAGACAGCUGAGCAUCGGAAUAUAUCAUAACAAACUAAGUUCAUCAUCUGCAAUGUUGAGAUAUAAAUCUUAAAUUAUAUUUUGCUAAUAUAUCUAUGGAAUCAAACAAAAGAUUUAUAUUGGAAAUUCCAACUCAAAGUCUGCAGCCGAAGAAGAUAAUCAAAAGACUUUGAAUUGUUGCAGAGUUCAUGAGUAUUUGAUAACUUAUUUUAAGUUCAUUCUUUAAUUAUCUUCAAGUGACUUUAAGUUUGUUUAGAA
rnacentral:misc_RNA from 1 species